rnacentral:rRNA from 1 species
UACAGAGGUCCCAAGCGUCGUUCGGAUUUACUGGGCGUAAAGGGUGCGUAGGUGGCUAGGUAAGUCUGACGUGAAAUCCCACAGCUUAACUGUGGAACUGCGUCGGAUACUAUCAAGCUAGAGGUAUGGAGGGGAGAUUGGAAUGCUCGGUGUAGCAGUGAAAUGCGUAGAUAUCGAGCGGAACACCAGUGGCGAAGGCGAAUCUCUGGACAUUACCUGACACUGAGGCACGAAAGCCAGGGGAGCAAACGGG